ACGGAAUAGAUACCCGGGUAGUCCACGCCCUAAACGAUGUCUACUAGUUGUCGGGUCUUAAUUGACUUGGUAAACGCAGCUAAACGCGUGAAAGUAGACCGCCUGGGGAGUACGGUCGCAAGAUUAAAACUCAAAGGAAUUGACGGGGACCCGCACAAGCGGUGGAUGAUGUGGAUUAAUUCGAUGCAACGCGAAAAACCUUACCUACCCUUGACAUGGAAGGAAUCCCUGAGAGAUCGGGGAGUGCUCGAAAGAGAACCUUUACACAGGUGCUGCAUGGCUGUCGUCAGCUCGUGUCGUGAGAUGUUGGGUUAAGUCCCGCAACGAGCGCAACCCUUGUCAUUAGUUGCCACGAAAGGGCACUCUAAUAAGACUGCCGGUGACAAACCGGAGGAAGGUGGGGAUGACGUCAAGUCCUCAUGGCCCUUAUGGGUAGGGCUUCACACGUCAUACAAUGGUACAUACAGAGGGCCGCCAACCCGCGAGGGGAGCUAAUCCCAGAAAGUGUAUCGUAGUCCGGAUUGUAGUCUGCAACUCGACUGCAUGAA
rnacentral:rRNA from 1 species